UUCCUGGUGGUCCAGUGGUUAAGAACCCACACUUCCACUGCAGAGGGCUCAGGUUUGAUCCCUGGUCAGGAAA
rnacentral:tRNA from 1 species